ACCGCCACCAUGUUGGACUGAGCAUCUUGUGCAGCUUCUGCAAAGACAGACCGACUCGAGGAGCUGAAGUGCUCUCGCAGCCGUUUCCCAUCAGGAACUCUGGCCUGAGGCACCAGGUGCGAGGCCUCUGCGUGCGGCCUCCUGUGAGCUUGUGAAACAGACCAAGCACAAAGGAAAAGAAACAGGAUCCUGCUGGCAACGGCGUGAUGACACGUUUCUGCUGACAGCUCUGAACUUUCAGGCAGAAUCUCUGUGAAUAAGGUGAGAGGGAGGCUUUAAUUAACGCCCUCAGACGGGGAAUGAAAACACCGAGCAGGAAGGUUGUGAGAUGGAUCUGGCUGUCAAAACGAAAUGAAAUAAAAACCCCAAAGUGUUCUGCCCCAACAAGCAGCCCUGCCUCGUGCUGCUGGGCCCUGACCCUCUCCCAGGCCUGGGCCAUGACCCUGGAGUCUGCGGAGAGAUGCUUCAUUUGGAAGGAAUCGAUGAAGCAACUUGCCACAGAAAUCUCCUACCAAGGGCAUCCUUUGCCUCACUCCUCUCUCUGCCCUGAGGACUGCUUUCAAAUCCCUGAUGAUCUCAAAUUCCCUAGGAAGGGCUCGAAAAUAUCCCUCCGUAAUUAUGCCCCAGUGAGGAACUAUCAGCCUGGGAAAGAGGACUCCGAAAGAAUCCCUGAAGUCAGGCCUGGCCAUUGUGUCUGUUUUUAGAGUUCGAUGAGAAAUUCAUGUUACACUUCAGGAAACCUCUUUGGAAGAGACAUAUUUCAGAAUCGGAAUGACUUUGAACACAGCCUGAGAAAUCCAAUAUCGUACAGCAGGGAGAUGUCAGCACCGAGGUUCAAGGACAGCUGACGAGGUAGCACGUUUCGUCACCCCACUCUGUCUGGAGUGAUCCCUGCCCUUCUCGCUAAUAGACUCACGCUCUUCUCUCCAUGUGAAAACAAGUCCCAAGCUUUAUCAUUUUCAACAAGGAUCUGUGGACCACUUAGGAUCUGCCAGGCAUUGCCUUAGGAACUGGAAAUCCAGAGGUUACUUUAAAAGCAAAAUCCUUGUCUUCGUAAAAGCAGAUGCACCAUAUGCACCUCCCAAAACCCAGCUGCUCCACUGAAGGUGUGCAAAGCAAUCUGUACUUAUGCAGAAAGGAUAUGCCCUUGGCUCUGAUCUUACUUCUCUGUUCAUCUCAGGUUUGCUGUCCGGUCUCACCCUGACUGUAAAUUCCUCAAGGGCAUGAACCACAGCCUCCUUUGGUCUCUCUUGGUGCCACAUAUGGAGCCAUGUCCACCGUGACCACUCAAAACCCAUGACAGGCAUCCAGACACUCAGAUAACCUCCUAGGUGAUGUGCUCUGACACAGAGAGCAUGUGUCGUUGGGCUUGCUGUUUAUAUUUUUGGAACCUGAGUCAGCGUGCUUGCAUAGAAUGGCCAAGAAAACAAAGCGAGGGGCCAGGCUGAGACAAGACUGGGAAUCUUACUUCCCAAAUUCCUGACUUAAAGAAAACAGUGGGGACGAGACAGGAGUCUCUCACCCAUCAAGAGUGCGUGACUGAGGGUGAUCUCAAAAGGUCUCAAGCGAUCUGAAAUGUUGUUAUUGGUAAGAAUUACGCCUACACAUGAUCGGCGCUUUAUACCUUGCAUUUAGUCAUUCAUUCAAGAACAAACCUCACUGUGUGGCAGAACCACCAGAAUAGGAUGCCUGCCUUCAAGGAUCUGGGCUCUUUGCUGAUUUGAUCUUCUAGGAUCGCUUCAGGACAGUUUGGCAGCCCCCAUCACCCCUGGGGAAUAAAGCCUAAGGUUUCCAACUUCAGACUUUGGGAUUUAACCGCAAAGCAUAGGGUAACAUGAUGAGCUCUUCCAGCUUCGCUGUAUUCAUAAUAGUGUUCAAAGCAUCAUCCAUCUUAGGGGGCAUAAGAGUCAAGGUUGAGCAUAAAGGGAUUCGUCGUAGGAACUGGCUGACGUCAUUGUGGGCAUGGGCUAAGCGUGAGUGAAGUUCCCAGGGAAACAGUCAGGAAAGGUGCCAGUGGGCUGGAAGCCCACGGACAAAGGCUGACGCUGGCUGUCCAUCUGCAGGCAGCCGUGUAGAAGGAUGGUCCAGGGGAAAGGAGAGCACCAGACACCAAGCAGCUGGUCGGCAUCUCUGAGCCCGUUUCAAUAAACGCCUUGCAACUGAUAAAAUCAGGCCGCCCAAGUAACCUCCCCUCUGAUUAGCAGGAAGUCAGCUGAUCAGGGACUUUAAUUAUAUCUGCAAAAUCCCUUCACGGCAACGCAUGCACUGGUCUUCGGCUGAACAACCGGGAAAGAUUUGUGUGCUGCAAAACACCCCCUGCCUCACAAUCCAGCUCCCAAGAGAAUAUCACUCCCAGCCCAUCCUCCCCUGAACUCAGGAGAAAGAGACACAGGGUCAGUCCCUGUUGAGGUGACUCAGCAAAAAGACAUCCCGUGAGGUUAUCAUGAAGCUUAAGGAGAUGGUACACAUAAAAUGCCUGGAGAACACAUAGCAGGUGGAACUGCCAUUUAGCAGAUGAGAAAGUCAAGCUCAGAAAAUAGGCAAAUAGGAGUUCCCGUCGUGGCGCAGUGGUUAACGAAUCCGACUAGGAACCAUGAGGUUGCGGGUUCGGUCCCUGCCCGUGCUCAGUGGGUUAACGAUCCGGCGUUGCCGUGAGCUGUGGUGUAGGUUGCAGACGCGGCUCGGAUCCCAAGUUGCUGUGGCUCUGGCGUAGGCCGGUGGCUACAGCUCCGAUUCAACCCCUAGCCUGGGAACCUCCAUAUGCCGCAGGAGCGGCCCAAGAAAUAGCAACAACAACAACAA
rnacentral:lncRNA from 1 species